GGGGCCCGCACAAGCGGUGGAGCAUGUGGUUUAAUUCGACGCAACGCGAAGAACCUUACCAGGGCUUGACAUCCCCUGACCGCGUACGAAAGUACGAAUUCACCUUCGGGUGACAGGGAGACAGGUGGUGCAUGGUUGUCGUCAGCUCGUGUCGUGAGAUGUUGGGUUAAGUCCCGCAACGAGCGCAACCCCUACGUUUAGUUGCUAACGCGUGAAGGCGAGCACUCUAGACGAACUGCCGUUGACAAAACGGAGGAAGUGGGGAUGACGUCAAAUCAUCAUGCCCCUUAUGUUCUGGGCUACACACGUGCUACAAUGGCCGGUACAGACGGACGCAAAGCCGCGAGGUGGAGCAAAUCCUAAAAAGCCGGUCUCAGUUCGGAUUGCAGGCUGCAAUUCGCCUGCAUGAAGUCGGAAUCGCUAGUAAUCGCAGGUCAGCAUACUGCGGUGAAUACGUUCCCGGGCCUU
rnacentral:rRNA from 1 species